rnacentral:tRNA from 2 species
GGUCCCGUAGCUCAACUGGAUAGAGCAUCAGCCUUCUAAGCUGACGGUUCCGCGUUCGAGUCGCGGCGGGAUCA